CCCUAGCCCCGGUAGAAGCGGCAUCUCCCGAUUUAGAAAAACAAGGCUUUUUUUCAAGCCGUAGUUUUUAUUAAUCGGGAAUACAGCGGAUGACGGGAAAUAGC
rnacentral:misc_RNA from 1 species